CUUCACAGUGAGAGAGCACUUUAAUACACACUUAAGCGCUGAUAACAACGUUAUUUUGGGGGCCUCUCGAGUCGGCUAAAACACGUCUUUCUUCAAACGGUAUCUCAAUUACUCUCAAAACUAACGCAAGAGGGAGUUCUUACGCGUCACAAACAGUGUUUGCUGUGGCUAUCAGAGUCACUCGUCGUUCAUUGUCGUCAUGAAGUUCUUAUUUGCUGUGAUAUUGCUGGUUGGAGUUGUUGGUUUUACGCUUGCUACUCCUUCGCGGAAAUUCUUCCACAGACAAGAAACCACUGACAGCGACACACCAARGACAAACAAAGAUCUAGCUCACAAUCAAGAUGGGGCUGUAUCUAAGAGGCUUUUCUGCAACUGGCAGUGCACUACUAAAUGCACAGAAUCGAUGUGUUGCAACGGCUUCUUUAUAGCACAAAAAAGUUGCAAGAAAUGCAAUAGAUGUCGUAGAUACUGCACAUGCAAUCAAGAUUGGAGUUGGCCAUAGUGAAUGAAAGCACCUUCUUCGCUUUUUGAAGGACAAUAUAGGGAUUUUUUAGUUGUACAUGCAGAGAUUUCAAUAAAAACGCACCAAUUGAAAA